CUAAACAUAAAACUACUAAAAUACCCGAUCUCGUCUGAUCUCGGAAGCUAAGCAGGGUCGGGCCUGGUUAGUACUUGGAUGGGAGAAACCAAGAGUUGGA
rnacentral:rRNA from 1 species